AGAAAGGCAAACCUGAUAUAUUUAUUCAGUAGAACAGUUGAUCUGGAAGCUCAUGAAUAAGGGGAAACAUAUAUUGUGUUCCAAAAGUAAAUCAAGAACAAUGUUGGGUAUACCAAAAGCAAGGUGAGUAGGAAAUAUUUAAUCAGUACAACAAAUGAUCUGGAGGCUCAUAAUAAAAGGGAAACAUUUCUUUGUUCCAAAACUAAGGCAGGACGAUCAAUUCACAUUAAGUUAGAUACACAGAGUAGAGUUAGACAACAAAAUCAAGCCAGAGCGCACCUAUACAGUUCAACUAAAGCAUACUAUUUGAUAACUUCACUUGAUUGUCUUCACGUUCGACUUCUCACAUGGCACGUCACAUGAACCUGCUGUGAGUAUUUAGUUUAACCAAUCAAGCCAUAGCCAAAAAAAAUCAUGGAUAAUACGGUUAUGUUCUUUUAACUGACCGCUUGUGGAUAGUGAGCUAUGGUUUGCCCCAUAGUUCGCACCAUAUUGGUCCUAUGCGUAAGAGUUCAGUCUAACUUGCGAAGAACAAUCUAUUGAACAAUGGUGUGUAAGAGUUCAUUUAGCAUGCAAAGUAUUGAACAAUGGCAUAAG
rnacentral:lncRNA from 1 species